GUGAACGCUGGCGGUAGGCCUAACACAUGCAAGUCGAACGGCAGCACAGUAAGAGCUUGCUCUUCCGGGUGGCGAGUGGCGGACGGGUGAGGAAUACAUCGGAAUCUACUUUUUCGUGGGGGAUAACGUAGGGAAACUUACGCUAAUACCGCAUACGACCUACGGGUGAAAGCAGGGGAUCUUCGGACCUUGCGCGAUUGAAUGAGCCGAUGUCGGAUUAGCUAGUUGGCGGGGUAAAGGCCCACCAAGGCGACGAUCCGUAGCUGGUCUGAGAGGAUGAUCAGCCACACUGGAACUGAGACACGGUCCAGACUCCUACGGGAGGCAGCAGUGGGGAAUAUUGGACAAUGGGCGCAAGCCUGAUCCAGCCAUACCGCGUGGGUGAAGAAGGCCUUCGGGUUGUAAAGCCCUUUUGUUGGGAAAGAAAAGCAGCAGGUUAAUACCCCGCUGUUCUGACGGUACCCAAAGAAUAAGCACCGGCUGACUUCGUG
rnacentral:rRNA from 1 species